ACCUGUGGAUAUAUAAGUUGGUGCGUAGUACUAAUGGGUAUGCAUUAAGUUGCUCACAGUGACCUGAAGUUUGGAGACUUGAAUUUCUUGGUGUUCAUACCCUUGUAUCUGAAAUUGAUUACUUGAUGCUUGAAGAAGCAAUUGUGAAACAAGGCAAUAGUACAUACUUGUCGCAAUAAUUGGACUGCUGGCUGCCUUAAAAUUUGAAUCUACUUGGACAUCACUCAUCGUUCUUCUCCAGGGCUACAUCAGACCUUUCAUCAAGGAAACAGCAUUGGACUGCUUUGAAAAUUGGACUUGAUUUCUGAUGGCUACUUUGGGAUGUUCUGUUUCCUAAAUUAUUGAGUUGUGUCUGUGCUUUAUGUUACAUAGGAUACACUAGGCUUUUGAUAA